rnacentral:rRNA from 1 species
GGACGAACGCUGGCGGCGUGCUUAACCCAUGCAAGUCGAGCGGAAAGGCCCUGCUUUUGUGGGGUGCUCGAGUGGCGAACGGGUGAGUAACACGUGAGUAACCUGCCCUUGACUUUGGGAUAACUUCAGGAAACUGGGGCUAAUACCGGAUAGGAGCUCCUGCUGCAUGGUGGGGGUUGGAAAGUUUCGGCGGUUGGGGAUGGACUCGCGGCUUAUCAGCUUGUUGGUGGGGUAGUGGCUUACCAAGGCUUUGACGGGUAGCCGGCCUGAGAGGGUGACCGGCCACAUUGGGACUGAGAUACGGCCCAGACUCCUACGGGAGGCAGCAGUGGGGAAUAUUGCACAAUGGGCGGAAGCCUGAUGCAGCAACGCCGCGUGCGGGAUGACGGCCUUCGGGUUGUAAACCGCUUUCGCCUGUGACGAAGCGUGAGUGACGGUAAUGGGUAAAGAAGCACCGGCUAACUACGUG